UGCAUCGGCCGGGAAUCGAACCCAGGCCGCCCGCGUGGCAGGCGAGCAUUCUACCGCUGAACCACCGAUGC
rnacentral:tRNA from 1 species